rnacentral:rRNA from 1 species
UAGGCAACGGCACUCUAUCGCUGAGAAGCUGAUCAAACUUGGUCAUUUAGAGGAAGUAAAAUAGUAACAAGGUUUUUGUAAGUGAACCUGCAGAAAGAUCAUUA